AUAACCAUCUCAGUCCAAAGUGCAAGACAGACCGCAGUGAAAAGAGAAAGCAACAGCUAAAAGAUGAGUAAAGAAACGAGCAAAAGGUUAAUUUAGACAUCAAGCUUCUAGGUCUUAUUUGGGCGUAGUUAUUCAUAGGAUAAAGUGGAGAGCUGCCAAUUCAUUGGUGAUGGUCUGUGUCCAGGGGAUUGUCUCAUUGUCUGCUUCACUUUGUCGGUUCUAAUCUGUCCUCUGCACAUGCGAUGGAGACGUGCCGUGGAGUGGAGGGAGGGAAGAGGCCUCACUUGCAGUUAGUUCCUUCCUUCUUUCAUGGAAGAACAAAGCUCUUUCAUCCUCGAAUCUUCUAUCUGAACAAAAGUUGCGAGAAUUAUUUUAUCCCUAAAAAAUUUCCUUGAAUAAUUUCCACCUACUGCAUGAAACAAUGGUCCCUUUUCACUUCUAAAAGGACUAAAAGACUAAAAAGUACAUCUUUUUUUUAUUUAUUUUUAUUUUUUUAUGGGCACCAAAGUAAAGCAUAUGUGCUCUAUUUGGAGAAUGCAGAUGCCUCAAGCUGUGGCAUUUCUUUCUCCAGCUCUCAGCAAGUGGCCAUUUAGGCUUAAUUGCUCCUCACAGCACAGUCCAAUUAAGAACGGGCAUCAGCAGGAAAGCUACAAAAGUUGUACUGCCUUUCGAAUUCGAGCCCAUUUCCUCAGGACAGAUAAAAAUCAUGGUGAAUUAAACAUCUACCACCUGGAAAUACUCCAGAUUCUUGAUGCUCUGACUUUCCCCCUAUUGCCUGUCAAUUGCUCAUCAGGAUUAGAGACCAACUGCUCUAGAAGCCACCAACUCUAUCUGUAG
rnacentral:lncRNA from 1 species